rnacentral:rRNA from 1 species
CCUACGGGUGGCAGCAGUGGGGAAUAUUGCACAAUGGGGGAAACCCUGAUGCAGCGACGCCGCGUGAAGGAAGAAGUAUUUCGGUAUGUAAACUUCUAUCAGCAGGGGAGAAAAUGACGGUACCUGACUAAGAAGCCCCGGCUAACUGCGUGCCAGCAGCCGCGGUAAUACGGAGGGGGCAAGCGUUAUCCGGAUUUAUUGGGUUUAAAGGGUGCGUAGGCUGUGAGGUAAGUCAGCGGUGAAAUGCCCCCGCUCAACCGGGUGAAGUGCCAUUGAUACUGCCUUGUUGGAGUGCGGAUGCGGUAGGAGGAAUGUGUGGUGUAGCGGUGAAAUGCAUAGAUAUCACACAGAACACCGAUUGCGAAGGCAUCUCACGAAUCCGCGAUUGACGCUGAUGCACGAAAGCGUGGGUAUCAAACAGGAUUAGAUACCCGAGUAGUC